rnacentral:rRNA from 1 species
AACGAACGCUGGCGGCAGGCCUAACACAUGCAAGUCGAACGGACGUAGCAAUACGUUAGUGGCUCACGGGAGAGUAACGCGUGGGAACCUACCUUUUGGUUCGGGAUAACAUCGGAAAACUGGUGCUAAUACCGGAUAAGCCCUUCGGGGGAAAGAUUUAUUGCCGAAAGAUGGGCCCGCGUUGGAUUAGCUGGUUGGUGAGGUAAUGGCUCACCAAGGCAACGAUCCAUAGCUGGUCUGAGAGGAUGAUCAGCCUCACUGGGACUGAGACACGGCCCAGACUCCUACGGGAGGCAGCAGUGGGGAAUAUUGGACAAUGGGGGAAACCCUGAUCCAGCCAUGCCGCGUGAAUGAUGAAGGCCUUCGGGUUGUAAAGUUCUUUUGGUUGGGACGAUGAUGACGGUACCCACAGAAUAAGCUCCGGCUAACUUCGUGCCAGCCGCCGCAGUAA